rnacentral:rRNA from 1 species
UACGGAGGAUGCAAGCGUUAUCCGGAAUGAUUGGGCGUAAAGCGUCCGCAGGUGGCUGUGUAAGUUUGCUGUCAAAGAGCGAAGCUCAACUUCGUAAAGGCAGUGGAAACUACACGGCUAGAGUGCGUUCGGGGCAGAGGGAAUUCCUGGUGUAGCGGUGAAAUGCGUAGAUAUUGGGAAGAACACCGGUGGCGAAAGCGCUCUGCUGGACCUGCACUGACACUGAGGGACGAAAGCUAGGGGAGCGAAAGGG